rnacentral:rRNA from 1 species
AACGUAGGAUCCGAGCGUUAUCCGAAUUCACUGGGCGUAAAGCGCAUGCAGGCGGCCGGAAAAGUUGGAUGUGAAAUCUCCUGGCUCAACUGGGAGAGGUCGUUCAAAACUAUCUGGCUAGAGGGCAGUAGAGGGAGGUGGAAUUCCCGGUGUAGUGGUGAAAUGCGUAGAUAUCGGGAGGAACACCAGUGGCGAAAGCGGCCUCCUGGACUGUACCUGACGCUCAGAUGCGAAAGCUAGGGGAG